GAUGAACGCUGGCGGCGUGCCUAAUACAUGCAAGUCGAGCGAAUGGAUUGAGAGCUUGCUCUUAUGAAGUUAGCGGCGGACGGGUGAGUAACACGUGGGUAACCUGCCCAUAAGACUGGGAUAACUCCGGGAAACCGGGGCUAAUACCGGAUAACAUUUUGAACCGCAUGGUUCGAAAUUGAAAGGCGGCUUCGGCUGUCACUUAUGGAUGGACCCGCGUCGCAUUAGCUAGUUGGUGAGGUAACGGCUCACCAAGGCAACGAUGCGUAGCCGACAUGAGAGGGUGAUCGGCCACACUGGGACUGGAACACGGCCCAGCCUUCUACGGGAGGCAGCAGUAGGGAAUCUUCCGCAAUGGACGAAAGUCUGACGGAGCAACGCCGCGUGGGUGAUGAAGGCUUUCGGGUCGUAAAACUCUGUUGUUAGGGAAGAACAAGUGCUAGUUGAAUAAGCUGGCACCUUGACGGUACCUAACCAGAAAGCCACGGCUAACUACGUGCCAGCCGCCGCAGUAA
rnacentral:rRNA from 1 species